CUAAACACUGUAGCUAAGCACAGUAUAAUGACGGAAAUGCCCCUCAUUUUACUGUUGUUUUCAUUUUGUUUUUUUUUCCCAUAACAGUAAAUUGACGAAACUGCCCUCGACUAAACAGCUUCUUCUGUUCCCGUUUUUGCCCCUUCCCCUUCGUUGAGAGGGUUUCGUCCGCUCAGAGAAGUCCCCAUUUUCAGUCCGUUUUGAACCAGCUGGUUGGGGGGCAACCAUGGAAGAUCUGCAUUCAUUGUUAGACAUGCGUGGGGGGCCGUCGAUUUUUGUUUGGGAGGUGCGGUGCAAAUCCAGCCGCACUUUUAGUCUUCGUCUCACAGAUUUGUGGUUGGGAGAUUUCUCAUCCUUUCUACAGCCUUCCACUCAGACUUCCAUCUUUCUUGCUUGCGAAUUUUUGCAUCCUUUGUCUUCAGGUUUUGCAAGAUGAUAGUAGUGUAUGAGACCCUUUCUGUUUUAGUUAUUUUACUCUCAAUAUCAAACACCUUUGCUUACACAGCCUAUAUCUUUGAUUCUCGAACAAUGUUGCCAACAAAUCUGGACGGUCACGUCAGAAAUGAUUGAACUUGGGUCUGUACUUAGCAUAUUCGGAUUUCACAAAACCCUAGUAAUAAAAUGGGGUUAAAAUCCUACAAAUUCUUAAUUAAAAUUUCUCAAAAAAAAUUCGAAUCUUACAUGUUGUUCAAGUUCUCUGUCAAAAUUAAAGUGUGUCAAAUUCCCAAAGUGACCAUUACUGAUGACAUUUUUCAGACUUGAUUAGCUAGCUAUGACGAAAGUGUCAUCCGUCUUCCAUGUCAUGGCUCCCAAAUUGCUAUUAGAGACAACAACAUAGAGACUUCGAGUUAAGCUAGUGACACGGCUGGAUGCUCUGCGAGUCUCGGCUUUACGUGCUUUGCGUAAUCGUAGAUCGUUCAACUUGUUAGACAUGUUAACGAGAUUAGGCACCUUGGGAUCAUGUUAUCAAUAGCAUCGUUGAAUCCACGUUGUAGCGUUUCCACUGCUGCGUCAAAAACAACUUCAUUUAAACAAAAUGCUUUUUAUAGUUAGCCAUUAGCUUUACAGAUUCAGGAGCCAGCUUUAUACGACCGCCAAUAGACAGUUUUUCAGCGAGAGCAACCCUUGCAUAGUUUGUAGCCGUAGUUUCAACAACCGAAUGAGCAAAUGUGGAGUACAGCUUUGCAUUGUGGAUCGCUUGUUUUUUAGCAGUAUCAAACAGCCUUGCCGUAGCAGCCCGGUUUUUAGCGGCAGCUAUAACGGCAUCGAUUUCAACGGCGACUGUAGAGCCCUGUUCGUAUAGAGCUGGUUCCUGAAUCUAUAAAGCUGAUGGUUGAGUAUAAAAAGCAUUUUGUUGAAGUGGAAGUUGUUUUUGACACAGCAGUGGAAACGCUACAAUGCGCAUUCAACGAUGCUAUUGAUAACAUGAUCCCCAAGAUGCCUAAUCUCGUUGACAUGUCUGACAAGUUGAACGAACUACGAUUACGCAAAGCACGUAAAGCCGAGACUCGCAGAGCAUCCAGCCGUGUCACUAGCUUAGUCCGAAGCCUCUAUGUUGUUGUCUCUAAUGGCAAUUUGGGAGCCAUGACAUGGAAGACGGAUGACACUUUCGUCAUAGCUAGCUAAUCAAGUCUGAGAAAGGUCAUCAGUAAUGGUCACUUUGGGGAUUUGACACACUUUGAUUUUGACAGAGAACUUGAACAACAUGUAAGAUUUGAAUUUUUUUUGGGAAAUUUUAAUUAAGAAUUUGUAGGAUUUUAACCCCAUUUUAUUACUAGGGUUUUGUGAAAUCCGAACGUUCUGAGUACAGACCCAAGUUCGAUCAUUUCCGACAUGACCGUCUAGAUUUGUUGGCCAACAUUAUUCGAGAAUCAAAGAUAAAGGCUCUGCAAGGAAAGGUGUUUGAUAUUGAGAGUAAAAUAACUCAAAUUGAUGGUCGGAUUGAUGAAUUUUCAGACAAAUUGGAUGGUAUGUUAAGGAGCUUCCAUGAUAAAUGAUACAGUAUGUAUCUUAAACAUAGUGCUCUUAGCUAUGAUAAUGGGUUUUUAAAAAAAUAUGUAUUUGGCAUAAUAAAGAGCCUAGAGUGAAAAGGAACUUAAUACUUGUGCUUGGUUGUUAAUCUGUCUUGGAGUCAGCCAGUUAGGUAGGCUUACUGUUAUAUGAUUAGCUGUAAAGCUAAUUAUAAAUACUGAAGCUUAGUCUCCUAAGAUUCAUUAAGAAGUUAGAAAUCCUACUGAAAUUUGGAAAAAUUAGAAAACAGGUUAGGAACUAAUUUCAGGAAACAUAUCCUUCUCCAAAAUUGGCAGAUAAUGAAUAUUACAAAUUCCUUUAUAGCUGCCCAAAUGUCUAGGGGAGCUUUUGAACAUACUGUGCCACAUGAAAGCUCUUGAAUACAGCCCAGAAGUCGCUAAGGGUGAGUUUCAUAUAAUUUUUCCUGUGCGUUUGGUAUAAUAAAGAGCCCUAAGUGAAAAGGAACUUAAUGCUUGUGCUUGGUUGUUAAUCAGUCUUGGAGUUAGCGAGCUAGGUAGGUUUACUGUUAUAUGAUUAGCUGUUAUAUAAAUACUGAAGCUUGGUCUUGUGAAAUUCAUUAAGAAGAGAAAUCUAGGAAAUAUAAAGAGCACUUUCCUCUUUCGCUUCUGUGCUUUUUCAAUAGCUUCUCACCCAAUCCAAAUAAAUUUGGAAACUAAAAAUCUGGAAAAAUAGAAAUCCUACUGAAAUCUGGACAAAUUAGAAAUUGAUUCCUUUUUAGCGGGCCAAAUGUCUAAGAGAGCUUUUGAACAUACUGUUUCACAUGAAAGCUCUUGAAUGCGGCCCAGAAGUCGCUAAGGAUGAGUUUCAUAUAAUUUUUCCUGUGUGUUAGAAUUGCUACUUAUCUCUGUCUCUCUUUUCCUUUUUGUUAUUUCUUUCUAUAUUUGAAUUCUUUUGUUUUGAAAUUGAUUCCUCGUCAAUCUCAGCACAAAACGUGGCUAGGCUACCCAGAGUUCAUUUCUCAACUGAUGGCAUUGCUUGAUGUUCGAGUGUCAUUUUAGUUGUUUGCCAUGGUCAGCUUCUGACAUAAAUAUGCGUAAUUCAUAUAGAAUUGAGACAAGUAUGAUAUGGUGACUUUUGUGGGGGCCAAGUACUCUGGUUUUGAUAGGUAGCACUAGCCUGGACGACAUAUGCAUAGUAUAGUGAAGGCAACUUCCAAUUGAACAUAAUAGCCGAGUUGUCCUUUUAAUUGUUUGCAUACUGAAUGCUUUUACUAAGUAGGAUAUGAAUAUUUUGUAUAUGCGUUGGACGACGGAUAUGAAUAUUUUGUAUAUGCGUUGGACGACAUAUACAUAGUAAUAAUGAAGGCAACUUCCAAUUGAACAUAA